CAAAGAUUUGGUCCCGAUCCUACUAUCAACUCUAGCUAAAAUUACACAUGCAAGUAUCCGCACGCCCGUGAGAAUGCCCUAUAACUUUCUUUGGAAAGUAAGGAGCUGGUAUCAGGCACACUAGAUUUAUAGCCCAAGACGCCUUGCUCAGCCACACCCUCAAGGGGUCCCAGCAGUGGUAAACAUUAGGCAAUGAGUGAAAACUUGACCUAGUUAAAGCUAAGAGGGCCGGUAAAACUCGUGCCAGCCACCGCGGUUAUACGAGAGGCCCAAGCUGAUAGUCUUCGGCGUAAAGGGUGGUUAAGAGCCACAAAAACUAAAGCCAAACACCCUUAAAAUUGUAAAAAGUAUUUAAGGGCAGGAGGAACAUCCACGAAAGUAACUUUAUUAAACUGAAGCCACGAAAGCUACGAAACAAACUGGGAUUAGACACCCCACUAUGCCUAGCCAUAAACCCUGAUAGAUACCUACACAACUAUCCGCCCGGGCACUACGAGCAUUAGCUUAAAACCCAAAGGACUUGGCGGUGCUUAAGAUCCCUCUAGAGGAGCCUGUUCUAUUAUCGAUACCCCCCGUUUUACCUCACUUUCUCUCGCCCCCAGCUUAUAUACCGCCGUCGUCAGCUUACCCUAUGAAGGUUCUUCAGUAAGCAGUGUUAGUAUAACUCAAAACGCCAGGUCCAGGUGUAGCAUAUGGGAAAGGAAGAAAUGGGCUACAUUUUCUAUCCAAGAAAAUACGAAACUUACUCUGAAACGCGUAUUUGAAGGAGGAUUUAGCAGUAAGCGGAAAAUAGAGAGUUCUGCUGAAACCGGCUCUAAAGCGCGCACACACCGCCCGU
rnacentral:ncRNA from 1 species